rnacentral:sRNA from 1 species
AAAAAAAUCAAAAAAA